rnacentral:rRNA from 1 species
AGCGAACGUUUGCGGCGGGCUUAACACAUGCAAGUCGAACGGGCUGUUCCUUCGGGGGCAGUCAGUGGCGCACGGGUGCGUAACACGUAGGUAAUCAACCCUCUGGUUGGGGAUAACACUUCGAAAGGAGUGCUAAUACCCGGUAUGGCGCAGCGGUCUUUGGAUCGCGGCGAGAAAGACCCGCAAGGGUUGCCAGAGGACGAGCCUGCGGCCCAUCAGCUAGUUGGCGAGGUAACGGCUCACCAAGGCGAAGACGGGUAGCUGGUCUGAGAGGAUGAUCAGCCACACUGGAACUGAGACACGGUCCAGACUCCUACGGGAGGCAGCAGUGGGGAAUAUUGCGCAAUGGGCGAAAGCCUGACGCAGCCACGCCGCGUGAGCGAUGAAGGCCUCGGUCGGUAAGACGUCUCGUGGGUAGGAGGAAGAAGUAAAGAACUA